UCUUCCAAUUCCAUUUCCCAAACCUGAGGGUUUUUAUCGUAUCGGUAAAGAUUAAUGGACCUGCAUGCUGGUACAUGAAUGCGGCCUUCGCGCUGCAUGGGUCAUGAAAGCAUGUCCGGCUCAAGUACUGGGCGCCAUGUCUAUGUUACAUGGAGGCCAUGUAUGGGACGUGGAGUUCAGGUGUAGUUCAUGUCAGUUUGUAAACAAAAACCAUCAAC
rnacentral:lncRNA from 1 species